GACGAACGCUGGCGGCGUGCUUAACACAUGCAAGUCGAACGGAAAGGCCCUGCUUUUGUGGGGUGCUCGAGUGGCGAACGGGUGAGUAACACGUGAGUAACCUGCCCUUGACUUUGGGAUAACUUCAGGAAACUGGGGCUAAUACCGGAUAGGAGCUCCUGCUGCAUGGUGGGGGUUGGAAAGUUUCGGCGGUUGGGGAUGGACUCGCGGCUUAUCAGCUUGUUGGUGGGGUAGUGGCUUACCAAGGCUUUGACGGGUAGCCGGCCUGAGAGGGUGACCGGCCACAUUGGGACUGAGAUACGGCCCAGACUCCUACGGGGGGCAGCAGUGGGGAAUAUUGCACAAUGGGCGGAAGCCUGAUGCAGCAACGCCGCGUGCGGGAUGACGGCCUUCGGGCUGUAAACCGCUUUCGCCUGUGACGAAGCGUGAGUGACGGUAAUGGGUAAAGAAGCACCGGCUAACUACGUG
rnacentral:rRNA from 1 species